rnacentral:rRNA from 1 species
CAGCAGUAGCCACGGGAAUACAGAGGGUGCGAGCGUUAAUCGGAUUUACUGGGCGUAAAGCGUGCGUAGGCGGCUAAUUGAGUCGGAUGUGAAAUCCCCGAGCUUAACUUGGGAAUUGCAUUCGAUACUGGUUAGCUAGAGUGUGGGAGAGGAUGGUAGAAUUCCAGGUGUAGCGGUGAAAUGCGUAGAGAUCUGGAGGAAUACCGAUGGCGAAGGCAGCCAUCUGGCCUAACACUGACGCUGAGGUACGAAAGCAUGGGGAGCAAACAGGAUUAGAUACCCGGGUAGUCCCUGUCUCUUAUAC